rnacentral:rRNA from 1 species
ACAUAGGGGGCAAGCGUUGUCCGGAAUCACUGGGCGUAAAGGGCGCGUAGGUGGUCUGUUAAGUCAGAUGUGAAAUGUAAGGGCUCAACUCUUAACGUGCAUCUGAUACUGGCAGACUUGAGUGCGGAAGAGGCAAGUGGAAUUCCUAGUGUAGCGGUGAAAUGCGUAGAUAUUAGGAGGAACACCAGUGGCGAAGGCGACUUGCUGGGCCGUAACUGACGCUGAGGCGCGAAAGCGUGGGGAGCAAACAG